UGGAUCCAGACUUUGAUUCUGGCUCAGGAUGAACGCUAGCUACAGGCUUAACACAUGCAAGUCGAGGGGAAACGACAUCGAAAGCUUGCUUUUGAUGGGCGUCGACCGGCGCACGGGUGAGUAACGCGUAUCCAACCUGCCCACCACUUGGGGAUAACCUUGCGAAAGUAAGACUAAUACCCAAUGACGUCUCUAGAAGACAUCUGAAAGAGAUUAAAGAUUUAUCGGUGAUGGAUGGGGAUGCGUCUGAUUAGCUUGUUGGCGGGGUAACGGCCCACCAAGGCUACGAUCAGUAGGGGUUCUGAGAGGAAGGUCCCCCACAUUGGAACUGAGACACGGACCAAACUCCUACGGGAGGCAGCAGUGAGGAAUAUUGGUCAAUGGACAAGAGUCUGAACCAGCCAAGUAGCGUGCAGGAUGACGGCCCUAUGGGUUGUAAACUGCUUUUAUAAGGGAAUAAAGUGAGUCUCGUGAGACUUUUUGCAUGUACCUUAUGAAUAAGGACCGGCUAAUUCCGUGCCAGCAGCCGCGGUAAUACGGAAGGUCCGGGCGUCAUCCGGAUUUAUUGGGUUUAAAGGGAGCGUAGGCCGGAGAUUAAGCGUGUUGUGAAAUGUAGAUGCUCAACAUCUGCACUGCAGCGCGAACUGGUUUCCUUGAGUACGCACAAAGUGGGCGGAAUUCGUGGUGUAGCGGUGAAAUGCUUAGAUAUCACGAAGAACUCCGAUUGCGAAGGCAGCUCACUGGAGCGCAACUGACGCUGAAGCUCGAAAGUGCGGGUAUCGAACAGGAUUAGAUACCCUGGUAGUCCGCACGGUAAACGAUGGAUGCCCGCUGUUGGUCUGAAUAGGUCAGCGGCCAAGCGAAAGCAUUAAGCAUCCCACCUGGGGGGUACGCCGGCAACGGUGCAACUCAAAUGAAUUGACGGA
rnacentral:rRNA from 1 species